GUGCCAGCCGCCGCGGUAAUACCAGCACCCCGAGUGGUCGGGAUGAUUAUUGGGCCUAAAGCAUCCGUAGCCGGUGUAACAAGUCCUCCGUUAAAUCCACCUGCUUAACAGGUGGGCUGCGGAGGAUACUGUUACACUAGGAGGCGGGAGAGGCGAGGGGUAUUCCACGGGUAGGGGUAAAAUCCUCUGAUCCGUGGAGGACCACCAGUGGCGAAGGCGCCUCGCCAGAACGCGCUCGACGGUGAGGGAUGAAAGCUGGGGGAGCAAACCGGAUUAGAUACCCGGGUAGUCCCAGCCGUAAACGAUGUAGGCUCGGUGAUGGACUGGCUCCGAGCCAGUCCAGUGCCGCAGGGAAGCCGUUAAGCCUACCGCCUGGGGAGUACGGCCGCAAGGCUGAAACUUAAAUGAAUUGGCGGGG
rnacentral:rRNA from 1 species